rnacentral:rRNA from 1 species
CAGCUAAGGUCCCAAAGUCAUGGUUAAGUGGGAAACGAUGUGGGAAGGCCCAGACAGCCAGGAUGUUGGCUUAGAAGCAGCCAUCAUUUAAAGAAAGCGUAAUAGCUCACUGGUCGAGUCGGCCUGCGCGGAAGAUGUAACGGGGCUAAACCAUGCACCGAAGCUGCGGCAGCGACGCUUAUGCGUUGUUGGGUAGGGGAGCGUUCUGUAAGCCUGUGAAGGUGUGCUGUGAGGCAUGCUGGAGGUAUCAGAAGUGCGAAUGCUGACAUAAGUAACGAUAAAGCGGGUGAAAAGCCCGCUCGCCGGAAGACCAAGGGUUCCUGUCCAACGUUAAUCGGGGCAGGGUGAGUCGACCCCUAAGGCGAGGCCGAAAGGCGUAGUCGAUGGGAAACAGGUUAAUAUUCCUGUACUUGGUGUUACUGCGAAGGGGGGACGGAGAAGGCUAUGUUGGCCGGGCGACGGUUGUCCCGGUUUAAGCGUGUAGGCUGGUUUUCCAGGCAAAUCCGGAAAAUCAAGGCUGAGGCGUGAUGACGAGGCACUACGGUGCUGAAGCAACAAAUGCCCUGCUUCCAGGAAAAGCCUCUAAGCAUCAGGUAACAUCAAAUCGUACCCCAAACCGACACAGGUGGUCAGGUAGAGAAUACCAAGGCGCUUGAGAGAACUCGGGUGAAGGAACUAGGCAAAAUGGUGCCGUAACUUCGGGAGAAGGCACGCUGAUAUGUAGGUGAAGUCCCUCGCGGAUGGAGCUGAAAUCAGUCGAAGAUACCAGCUGGCUGCAACUGUUUAUUAAAAACACAGCACUGUGCAAACACGAAAGUGGACGUAUACGGUGUGACGCCUGCCCGGUGCCGGAAGGUUAAUUGAUGGGGUCAGCGCAAGCGAAGCUCUUGAUCGAAGCCCCGGUAAACGGCGGCCGUAACUAUAACGGUCCUAAGGUAGCGAAAUUCCUUGUCGGGUAAGUUCCGACCUGCACGAAUGGCGUAAUGAUGGCCAGGCUGUCUCCACCCGAGACUCAGUGAAAUUGAACUCGCUGUGAAGAUGCAGUGUACCCGCGGCAAGACGGAAAGACCCCGUGAACCUUUACUAUAGCUUGACACUGAACAUUGAGCCUUGAUGUGUAGGAUAGGUGGGAGGCUUAGAAGUGUGGACGCCAGUCUGCAUGGAGCCGACCUUGAAAUACCACCCUUUAAUGUUUGAUGUUCUAACGUUGACCCGUAAUCCGGGUUGCGGACAGUGUCUGGUGGGUAGUUUGACUGGGGCGGUCUCCUCCUAAAGAGUAACGGAGGAGCACGAAGGUUGGCUAAUCCUGGUCGGACAUCAGGAGGUUAGUGCAAUGGCAUAAGCCAGCUUGACUGCGAGCGUGACGGCGCGAGCAGGUGCGAAAGCAGGUCAUAGUGAUCCGGUGGUUCUGAAUGGAAGGGCCAUCGCUCAACGGAUAAAAGGUACUCCGGGGAUAACAGGCUGAUACCGCCCAAGAGUUCAUAUCGACGGCGGUGUUUGGCACCUCGAUGUCGGCUCAUCACAUCCUGGGGCUGAAGUAGGUCCCAAGGGUAUGGCUGUUCGCCAUUUAAAGUGGUACGCGAGCUGGGUUUAGAACGUCGUGAGACAGUUCGGUCCCUAUCUGCCGUGGGCGCUGGAGAACUGAGGGGGGCUGCUCCUAGUACGAGAGGACCGGAGUGGACGCAUCACUGGUGUUCGGGUUGUCAUGCCAAUGGCACUGCCCGGUAGCUAAAUGCGGAAGAGAUAAGUGCUGAAAGCAUCUAAGCACGAAACUUGCCCCGAGAUGAGUUCUCCCUGACUCCUUGAGAGUCCUGAAGGAACGUUGAAGACGACGACGUUGAUAGGCCGGGUGUGUAAGCGCAGCGAUGCGUUGAGCUAACCGGUACUAAUGAACCGUGAGG